AGUAGGGUUGUUACCUUUGAUGGCGAUUUAACCGAUGAGCCGUUCACAGCUGUGGUAGCGGCCGUGGCUGUUGGCUGUAAAUGGCAUCUUCUCUGGCGGAGAUGGAGGUGUUGACGAUCAUGUUCUCUCUCCUGGUUUUCGCCCUCUUCACACUCACUGGGAUACUCAACGAGGAAUGUGCACACCCGAAAGAGACAAAACCAGCGGCUCAGAGUGUGGAGCAGAUUGUCUGACUACAGCUGAUGUUUUAUGACUGAGAAUGAAAACCUCAGAAGCCUACAGCCACCCCCUUCUUCAUGAUGUUGACGUGGCAGCCACUGCCUUGAAUUCAGGUGUGAACACUUACCAGACAAAGUCUGAAUAGUGACCUCUGAACAGGUGUGUGUGUGUACUUUGUUAUAGGAUCCACUGGUAUUUGCUUCCGGGAUGAAGCAGGAGUGGCUCAGAUGACACACUGUAAAAAAAAAAUUAAAUAAACAAACGCCUGCUUCAGGAAACUGCAGUAUCUCAUGUCUGAGUUAUUUCCACUUUUAAAGUGAGUGUAUGUGAGGACACAGAAGCCUUCUGAUUUUGAUCUUCAGAGCUAAAAAUAGCUGCUUUACUCUUCCACUGAUUCAGCUCCAUCCAGGCCUGAAAACUGCCUUCUUCUUCAGGACAGAUGAGAGCAGAUACAAAUGUUGGUCGAUACAACCACAGCACUCAUCAGACAGUAAACAGAUGA